rnacentral:misc_RNA from 1 species
CAGAGUGCGAGGCUCAGUCGUGGCAUCUGCUGCGUGCUGGGCCGACCCUCCCACCCGUGUCGAUUUGUAUCUUGUUGCUUUGGCGGGCCGGGCCGCGCUGUCGCUGUCCGCAUGGACAUGCGUCGGCCGCCCACCGGUUUUCAACUGGAGCGCGCCCGCCAAAGACCCAACCAAAACUCAUGUUGUUUGUGUCGUCUCAGCUUUAUUAUGAAAAUUGAUA